GCAAACUUGGUCAUUUAGAGGAAGUAAAAGUCGUAACAAGGUUUCCGUAGGUGAACCUGCGGAAGGAUCAUUAAACAACCGGCCAAUGCCUCGUUCCCUACUCCUGGGCGACAGCUGUCGCUUUUAGAGGAGCAUACGCGAUAACGCGUCUAAAAUGCUCACAAGGAGCAAGGGGCGUUGAUUGGCUUACUUUUUAUAAGUACUGAAGUGCGUAUCUGUCUUGAUCCGGCCCCCUCGUUAACGCGUUGUGAUCAGCCGGCCGCAAGGCACUCCGUACUUUGGGGUACACCCUUGUUUUUUGCGUACUACUCGUUUCCUCGGCAGGCUUGCUUGCCGAUUGGACAAAAUUUAAACUCUUUUGUAAUUGCAAUCAGCGUCUGAACAAACUAUAAUAGUUACAACUUUCAACAACGGAUCUCUUGGUUCUGGCAUCGAUGAAGAACGCAGC
rnacentral:misc_RNA from 1 species